CGUAACUGAUCAGCUUUGAAGUCAUUGGAAUGGUUAUAUGACCUUUUUCAGGUUGAAUGGUGGUCGUCUCACUCACCCCUACCGCCUGUGAGCGAAAAAACCACCCUUGCAAGCCAGCAGAGCCG